rnacentral:lncRNA from 10 species
UCUCAAUCUCAUUAACUUGAGGCAGCUCACAUUCCAAAUAAAAUAAACUGAGAGGAAGAAAAUAUUGUUUAUAGGCAGUUUUUGUAAAAAAGAAUGUCUAUCAGCAGCUCUGUAGCUUGAACACAUACAGAAAUACAUCUAUUACAUUUAACUAGAAUGGGGCACAGUGAAUCAGCUUCCCUGUUCUGAACUGCUUAAGGGCAGACAUUUCAUUUUAUUUCUUCCUGGCUUUUCUGCAUUAAAAACUGAUUCCGUCUUUGACAGGUUGCACUGUAGAUGGCCUUGUUACAGUGCACGGGCAUUCUGGUGAAUGACUUUGAUUACUCUGGGACGAGGUCCUGUUGCUGUGAAAAUCAGGUAAAAAAUAUAAGAAUAGUUUCCUUUUUGUAAAGAGGAAAAUGCCAGGAACUUUUCUUAAAACUCUAAAUAUACCUUUCUACAGAAAUGAAAAAGAAGGCCUAAGCAUCUUUUUUUUAAUGAAAUAAAAUAUUUUGCAAGUAACUGAUAAUCUGGUUUCUCAGAAUUAAAGGACACUCUCUUUUUCUUUCUUUCUCCUUCCUUCCUUCCCUCCCUCCCUCCUUCCUCUUCCUUUCUUCCUUCCUCCCUCCCUCUUUCUUUCUCUCUUUCUUUCUUUCUUCUUUCUUUCUCUUUUUUUCUUCCUUCCUCUCUCUCUUUCUCUUCCUCCCUCCCUCUCUCUCUUUUCUCUUUCUUUCUUUUUCUUUCUUUCUUUCUUUUUCUUUCUUUCUUCUCCCUUUUGUCCUUCCUUUUCUUUUUUUUUUGCUUAAAUUAUCUUGUAAUUUUAUGUAAGUAAUGUAUUUUUAAUUCUUCGGAGGUGAUUCUGUUUUAGAAACAACACGAACAGCCAGUCUUUACAAAUGGCUUUUUGAGAUGAUGGUAAUUUAUAAAUGCUGAGCU